rnacentral:rRNA from 1 species
GAUGAACGCUAGCGGCAGGCUUAAUACAUGCAAGUCGAGGGACAGCACAGGUAGCAAUACUGGGUGGUAACCGGCAAACGGGUGCGGAACACGUACACAACCUUCCUUUAAGUGGGGGAUAGCCCCGAGAAAUUUGGAUUAAUACCCCGUAAUAUAGUGGACUGGCAUCAUUUGAUUAUUAUAGCUACGGCGCUUAAUGAUGGGUGCGCGGCUGAGUAGAUAGUUGGCGGGGUAACGGCCCACCAAGUCUACGAUCAGUAGCUGAUGUGAGAGCAUGAUCAGCCACACGGGCACUGAGACACGGGCCCGACUCCUACGGGAGGCAGUAGUAAGGAAUAUUGGUCAAUGGACGAAAGUCUGAACCAGCCAUGCCGCGUGAAGGAUUAAGGUCCUCUGGAUUGUAAACUUCUUUUAUUUGGGACGAAAAAGGGCCUUUCUAGGUCAACUGACGGUACCAGAUGAAUAAGCACCGGCUAACUCCGUGCCAGCCGCCGCCGUAACAC